UACGGAAGGCAGCAGUGGGGAAUAUUGCACAAUGGGCGAAAGCCUGAUGCGGCUAUGCCGCGUGUAUGAAGAAGGCCUUAGGGUUGUAAAGUACUUUCAUCGGGGAGGAAAAACAAAACUAAUAAUUUUAUUUCUUGACGUUACCCGAAAAAGAAGCACCGGCUAACUCCGUGCCAGCAGCCGCGGUAAUACGGAGGGUGCUAGCGUUAAUCAGAAUUACUGGGCGUAAAGAGCACGUAGGUGGUUUUUUUAAGUCAGAUGUGAAAUCCCUGGGCUUAACCUAGGAACUGCAUUUUGAAACUGAAAUACUAGAGUAUCGUAGAGGGAGGUAGAAUUCUAGGUGUAGCGGUGAAAUGCGUAGAUAUCUGGAGGAAUACCUGUGGCGAAAGCGGCCUCCUAAACGAAUACUGACACUGAGGGUGCGAAAGCGUGGGGAGCAAACAGGGAUUAGAUACC
rnacentral:rRNA from 1 species